rnacentral:rRNA from 1 species
AUUGAACGCUGGCGGCAUGCCUAACACAUGCAAGUCGAGCGGAUACGGGCAUCUUGCUCCUGGAUUCAGCGGCAGGCGUGUGUGUAAUACCUGAGCGUCUGCCUUCGAGGGGGGUAUCGCGUCCAGAGACGUGCUCUUAUACCACACGCUUCCCGAGUGAAAAAUGGGGGGAGCUUGGGACCUCGCGCUCGCAGCGGCGCCUAGGGCGGAUUAGCUAGUUGGUGGGGUAAAGGCUUACCAAGGCGACGAUCCGUAACUGGUCUGAGAGGAUGAUCAGACACACUGGAACUGAGACACGGCCCAGACUCCUACGGGAGGCAGCAGUGGGGAAUUUUGGACAAUGGGCGCAAGCCUGAUCCAGCCAUGCCGCGUGCGUGAAGAAGGCCUUCGGAUUGUAAAGUACUUUUAGUCGGAACGAAGGGCCGUCAGUUAAUACAUUGGUGUCUUGACGUUACCAAAAGAAUAAGCACCGGCUAACUACGUG